CUCCCUUAUUCCCAAUUUCCAUUACUCCAACUCCAACGUCUGCGGUUUUGACCCAAGCAAUAUUCUCAGUGACAUCUUCGCGCACGAAGACCAUAACAGCAGUCGUUCCCGCAUUUUUUGUUAUGACAUUCUCGUAGCGCUGUUCCCCAGCUGCAAUGCUCACGGAACAACGAAAGGCAUGGAAGUACGGAUCUAGGAACGAGCCCCCGAGAAAUGCGUAGGCGAUCGGUGCAAUUUCCUGUAGUGAUAAGACAAGAAUCUCGGGUAGCUCCCUGGACUGAGGCCGUGCUUUGGGGAGGACUCUGAAGAGGUGGGCUGCGAAUGAGUCGUGCUGAAUCAAAUUCCGGGCGCAAUUAAA
rnacentral:sRNA from 1 species